AUUGAACGCUGGCGGCAUGCUUUACACAUGCAAGUCGAACGGCAGCGCGGGCUUCGGCCUGGCGGCGAGUGGCGAACGGGUGAGUAAUACAUCGGAACGUGCCCAGUAGUGGGGGAUAGCUCGGCGAAAGCCGGAUUAAUACCGCAUACGACCUGAGGGUGAAAGCGGGGGAUCUUCGGACCUCGCGCUAUUUGAGCGGCCGAUGGCAGAUUAGCUAGUUGGUGGGGUAAAGGCCUACCAAGGCGACGAUCUGUAGCUGGUCUGAGAGGACGACCAGCCACACUGGGAAUGAGACACGGCCCAGACUCCUACGGGAGGCAGCAGUGGGGAAUUUUGGACAAUGGGCGAAAGCCUGAUCCAGCAAUGCCGCGUGUGUGAUGAAGGCCUUCGGGUUGUAAAGCACUUUUGGCGGGAACGAAAAGGACUGUGCUAAUACCACGGUUCGAUGACGGUACCCGCAGAAUAAGCACCGGCUAACUACGU
rnacentral:rRNA from 1 species